rfam:Salmo salar isolate Sally breed double haploid chromosome ssa23, whole genome shotgun sequence.
CCAAGGGCUCUUUCAAGAGCCAUCGACAUUGCAAUAAGAGUAUUCU